AGUGUCAACAAUCAACACUACUACUAAGACAACAGUGAUCAACAUUUACUUUGUCAUCUCUAGUCUGCUGCUUCCUGUUGGUUUCCGUAUUGAGAGACAUAAAGAUCAUUUACAUUUAUUAUUCAAAGGUCUGCUCUCCUGGGGAUUACAAUUGCAACAAAUGGAUUUCUCUCUUCCUUAGACACAGGGUUUUGGAAUUAUGUUCAUACAUGUUACUUUCUUCCAUGAGCGGCUUUGUUGUUGGGUUGAUUUUUAAUAAAGUGCCCAGAAAUGCUGA